UGGAGUCCAGUGGUGUGAUCUCAGCUGUACCUCUACCUCCCGGGUUCAAGUGAUUCUCCUGCCUCUGCCUCCUGAGGAGCUGGAAUUACAGGCGCCUGCCACCAUGCCGGGAUUAUCGUCCUCACAACCAGGUGCUGGUUCUCAAGCUGCUCAAGACCUUCUGCGCCACAAAGAGAACUGAAUGUAUAAACUAGAUCUCAUGAAACUCCGCUAAUGUCAGCAGGAAGAGGAGAACAAACACUCUGUGAGCUUCCACCUUUUCCUAAUUCCUUCCCAAGACUUCAAAGUCCUGCAGAUGCUUCUUCUUCUCUUUUGCCAGCUACCCUGUGCCUGGGAAAAGUCCAUGCUUCCAUAAGUCCUCUUGGUGAGUUGUAGGCAUCUCAGCAGAUCAAGGCCUGGAUACAUGAACUAUGAGUGACUCAAUUUGUCCUACAUCCUGCAACACUGACAUUUGGAACAAUUAUGCCUUCGGAACAAGAAUAUUUAAGUUAAAGAAAUUAAUAUGUGAUGGUAGGCCAGGCGCGGUGGCUCACGCCUGUAAUCCCAGCACUUUGGGAAGCCAAGGCGGGCAGAUCACAAGGCCAGGAGAUCAAGGCCAUCCUGGCUAACAAGGUGAAACCUCCUCUCUACUAAAAAUACAAAAAAUUAGCCGGACAUGGUGUCACGCACCUGCAGUCCCAGCUACUCAGGAGGCUGAGGCAGGAGAAUCUCUUGAAGCUGGGAGGCAGAGGUUGCAGUGAACCAAGAUCGCGCCACUGACUCCAGCAUGGGAGACAGAGCGAGAUUCCAUCUCAAAGAAAAAAAAAAGAAAUUAGUACAUGAUGGUAAAAUUUUGGGGAGCACUGCCCCUGAAUGAAGGAGAGAGGGUAAUUUUUGGAUGACAGGAUGCACUGGCUCUUUGCAUGAUGGGCUGAUUGGUUACCUAAUCCCAUGUCUCUUUCCUCUUUCUGCAAAGGCUGCUUGGAC